GAACCUGAAGUACCCGACAACAGUUUGUUCGACCUGAAGCUUGCAGGCAAUUCCAUGCAAGACAUGAGGAGGGAGAUGAGACAAUGAGGAUGAGGCCAGCUUACCUGAAAGAAGCCUGGAGGCAUUGGACCACUGGGAGGCAUCCCAUCGUUAGGGGGCAUCUGACCUAAUACUGGACUGGGAGCUGCACCGCUCUGGAAAGGGAACGGCAAGAAAGAGGAUUGUAUGUUAAAUCAUUGAAAAAAAUCAAGGGUACUGCAUUGGACUGGGACCUGCACCGCUCUGGAAUGAGAACGGCAGAAAAUACGUAUUGGACUGGGAUCUGCACCGCUCUGGAAAGGGAAUGGCAAGAAAGAGGAUUGUAUGUUAAAUCACUGAGAAAUCCACAGUACUGCAUUGGACUGAGACCUGCAUUGGACUGAGACCUGCAUUGGACUGAGACCUGCAUUGCCCUGGAAUGAGAACGGCAGAAAGAUCAUAAUACUCAUUCAUUGAGAGAUUUAAGGUAUUGGACUCGGAGCUGCGCCGCUAGCGCUCUGGAAAGGGAAUAGCAGAAAAACGAACAUAAUUAUAGGCCUAUUACAUCAUUGGGAAAUGUAAGGCAGGUUUAACUAGAAUGGUACAAGUGGAAGAUAAUUUCUACGUAUCAAGGCAAUAAAAUAUCUCAUACAGAGAAGGUAAAACCAAGUCUUUUGAGAAAUUGUGGGAUAACUUUCUUAUAGUUGCUUGAUAUACACAGUCACUACUUGACCUAAAACGUGGCUAAUCUUUAUUUAGCAGUUCGGGGAAAACCUCUAGGUGAGCAUUUUUUUUUCAGCGUUGGUCAUUUCUGGUGUAUAUAUGUACGAUACGAAUCAGCGAGGCAAGCUGUGAGUCAUACAAAUACAAAUGCAGGUCAGCACCGCCGAUACACUGACCGACUUCAGGAUCUCUCCUACAGCCUGUGGCGGAUUUGCAACCAUGGAGUUUAGAUGUAAGGGGG